rnacentral:misc_RNA from 1 species
GAUGAAGAACGUAGCGAAAUGCGAUAAGUAAUGUGAAUUGCAGAUUUCAGUGAAUCAUCGAAUCUUUGAACGCACAUUGCGCCCCUUGGUAUUCCGAGGGGCAUGCCUGUUCGAGCGUCAUUAUAACCCCUCAAGCUCAGCUUGGUGUUGGGGCCUGCUGCACUGGCAGCCCUUAAAAUCAGUGGCGGCGCCAUCUGGCUCUAAGCGUAGUAAUUCUUCUCGCUAUGGAGUCCUGGUGGAUGCUUGCCAUCAACCCCCAAUUUUUCUAUGGUUGACCUCGGAUCAGGUAGGGAUACCCGCUGAACUUAAGCAUAUCAAUAAGCGGAGGA